rnacentral:rRNA from 2 species
UUUGGUAAUUAUGCCUGAUUGGUAACACCCGUUUCCAUUCCGAACACGAUGGUUAAGCAAUCAAGGGCUGAUGAUACUGCAGGAGAGGUCUUGUGGGAAAGUAAGUUGUUGCCAAAU